UACGUAGGGUGCGAGCGUUAAUCGGAAUUACUGGGCGUAAAGCGUGCGCAGGCGGUUCGCUGUGUCCGAUGUGAAAGCCCCGGGCUUAACCUGGGAAUGGCAUUGGAAACUGGCGGGCUUGAGUGCGGCAGAGGGGGGUGGAAUUCCGCGUGUAGCAGUGAAAUGCGUAGAGAUGCGGAGGAACACCGAUGGCGAAGGCAGCCCCCUGGGUCGACACUGACGCUCAGGCACGAAAGCGUGGGGAGCGAUCCGG
rnacentral:rRNA from 1 species